rnacentral:lncRNA from 10 species
CUUUAAAAGAGAACUGAGGCGGGGCACGGUGACUCAUGCCUGUAAUCCCAGCCCUCUGGGAGGCCGAGGUGGGUGGAUCACCUGAGGUCAGGAGUUCAAGACCAGCUCGGCCAACAUGGUGAAACCCUGUCUCUACUAAAAAUGCAAAAAUUAGCCGGGUGUGGUGGCAGGUGCCUGUAAUGCCAGCUGCUCGGGAGGCUGAGGCAGGAGAAUCUCUUGAACCCGGGAGGCGAAGGUUGCAGUGAGCUGAGAUCGCACCACUGCACUCCAGCCUGGGCGACAGAGCAAGACUCCAUCUCAAAAAAAUAAAUAAAAUAGAACUGAAAGGAAAAAUGUGCUGUAAUAUAAUUGUGUAUUCAAACUACAUAUUCUGAACCAGAUAAAUGAGAUAUAUAUCGCGAUGCUUUGUAAACUGAAAUACUAUAUACAAAUUUAAAUGUAUUGACAGCCUUUCAGAAUCUAUAUUAAGCACCUAGUUACAAGUCACUGUGGAAAUAACAGUGUAAUAAAGACUAAAAAAGACCCAUUAGGCAUUUUGAUCAAAAAUUCUCAUUUUUCAAAAUUUGAUCAUAUAAUGCUUUGCUUUGUUAGUAAAGAACUGACCUAAUUCCCUACAGGCAUUGAAAACAAAACAAAGGCCAGAGCAAUGGCUCAUGCCUGUAAUCCUAGCACUUUGGAUUGAGGCGGAAGGAUAGAUUGAGGUCAGCAGUUCAAGACCAGCUGGGCAAUAUAAUGAGACCCCGUAUCUAAAAAAGAAAAUUAUUUUUGUAAUUAGCCAGGCCUGGUGACACACACCUGUGGUCCCGGCUACUUCGGAGGCUGAGGCAGAAGGAUUGCUUGAGCCCAGAAGUUUGAGGCUGCUGUGAGCUAUGAUCAAGCCACUACGAUCUAGCUAGGGCAACAGAGCAAGACCUUUUUGCUAAUAAAUGGAUAAAUAAAGUGUUGAGACAUUGAAUAAAGAGAUUUAAUGAGCCAACGCACAUGAAAUAGAAUAGUUAUCAACACAUAAUACUCAAGGUUUUUUAAAAAAGUAUUGAGAGCUUGUUUCAGCAGCACAUACACUAAAAUUGAAGAAUACAAGGAAGAUUAGCAUGGCCUCUGCACAACAAUGACAUGCAAAUUGAAGUGUUCCAUAUUUUAAAAAAUUUUAAAAAAGAAUAAAAGUGUUGAGACAAAUUUAUAAUUAACAAAGUCAUAAAUAGCCAAGAGAAACUUAGCUAAUCUUUAUUGGUGAUUACAUCCCACCUCCACCACUGCUUCUCUCAGUUUAUGACCACAGCAAGGUUCCUACUUUUAUAGGAACGCAAAUGCAUAAAGGUCAUGAUAAGGUGUUGAAAAAUAAAAUAACAAAACUGCCAUUUCCUGUAUAUUUUAUGAUUCUAACUAAUGACAGCCAUUACUCUGUAGGAAAGAUACAUAUCUUUAGGGCAAUGUUGCUUUUCAAAAUGUAGUCAUUCCUAUUAAUAUUGACCUAGUAUUAUAGUUUCCUACUUAUUAAAAUGAAGUCUUUGAGGAAGUAGAAUUAUAGCAUCAUGCUAGAAUUAAAACUAAAUGUUUGGUUUUCAUUUAUUUAUGUAUUUAUUUAUUUGAGACAGGGUCUCACUUUGUCACCUAGGCUGGAGUACAGUAGUGUCAUCAUGGCUCAUGUCAGCCUAGACCUCCAGGGCUCAAGCGAUUCUCCCAGCUCAGCCUCACAAGUAACUGGGACUACAGGCGUGAAAAGCAAAUUUAAAAAUUUUUAAUUUGUUCAUAGAAAUGGGGUCCCAUUCUGUUGCCCAGGCUGAGCUUGACUUCUUAGACUCAAGUGAUCCUCCUGCCUCAGCCUCCCAA